CGACGGAAUUUGCUUUCACUGACAUUUUUCUCUUCUUCGCCCUGCAGUGUCAGCACAGCUGAUGGAAGAGAGAACUGGUAGAUGCAUUAUCCCUGGCAUGACAAACCCUGCAGUCCCGUGAUCUCCUCCCCUCCUGCCUCCAGUGACCCCCAUGCAGCCCCCGUCCGCUUCCUAUCAUGACCUUGGUGACACAUAUGCAGCCCUUCUCGCCUUCCCAUCCUGCCCUCAAUGACUUCUGUGCAGACUUUAGGAAACACAACACUCAUGAUACAAACAGUCACACUGAAUCCAUUACGCAUGAGAAAGCUGACAAAGCCUGAUUCUUCUAACUGAGGAUAGUUGUGUGGCUAAGGUGGCGCACUAGGAUCUAGAAAUCCGGUUAAGGAGUCUGACUGUAGCUAGUUGUUGACCAACAGUAUGGGGAACAUUAUGGUUGCAUAUAGUCAUUUGAUGAUGGAUGUGAGCACAAAAUGGGGAAUUUGGUCUAGCUCUAUUGUGGAAACGUUACUGUUGGGCGUAAGAAAAAAGCUUCUUGUUUUCCAAAGCUUCACCUUGGAGCCGAGUUAAUAUCGACAGUGUCCCUUCAACUUUGAACCAUUAAAAGCUGCGGGUGGGUAUUUUCUCAGAACUAGCAGUGACCACAUGAAAAACAUUAUUAACUAAAGGUCAAAGGUGAGAUUUUCAAACGCUCUCCGCCUUGGCUUCAAUGAGACCAUGAGACCAACGGAGAGCACUUUAGAAAAUGUGUCUCUAAGGGUAUUGAAGUGGAGCUCAGACAAGUGCAUGAAGCCAGAAACCACCAGUUAAUUGCCUACUUUGCUCCUUGGAACUCAGACAUUAUUCAUACCUGACUCCCUACCUCUCCACUGUCCUCCUACAUUCCAGCUCACUCAGUCAACAGGAAACUGGUGGGGUCAUUUCAGCCAACUCAGUGUGAGAGGAGAUCAAAUAAAGAAUGCAAUGGCUCAUAUACA
rnacentral:lncRNA from 1 species